AACGAACGCUGGCGGCAUGCCUAACACAUGCAAGUCGAACGAAGGCUUCGGCCUUAGUGGCGCACGGGUGCGUAACGCGUGGGAAUCUGCCCUCUGGUUCGGAAUAACUCAGGGAAACUUGAGCUAAUACCGGAUAAUGACUUCGGUCCAAAGAUUUAUCGCCUGAGGAUGAGCCCGCGUCGGAUUAGCUUGUUGGUGAGGUAAAAGCUCACCAAGGCGACGAUCCGUAGCUGGUCUGAGAGGAUGAUCAGCCACACUGGGACUGAGACACGGCCCAGACUCCUACGGGAGGCAGCAGUGGGGAAUAUUGGACAAUGGGCGAAAGCCUGAUCCAGCAAUGCCGCGUGAGUGAUGAAGGCCUUAGGGUUGUAAAGCUCUUUUACCCGGGAUGAUAAUGACAGUACCGGGAGAAUAAGCCCCGGCUAACUCCGUGCCAGCCGCCGCAGUAACAC
rnacentral:rRNA from 1 species